GACGAACGCUGGCGGCGUGCUUAACACAUGCAAGUCGAACGGAAAGGCGCUGCUUUUGCGGGGUGCCCGAGUGGCGAACGGGUGAGAAACACGUGAGUAACCUGCCCUGGACUUUGGGAUAACUUCAGGAAACUGGGGCUAAUACCGGAUAGGAGCUCCUGCUGCAUGGUGGGGGUUGGAAAGUUUCGGCGGUUGGGGAUGGACUCGCGGCUUAUCAGCUUGUUGGUGGGGUAGUGGCUUACCAAGGCUUUGACGGGUAGCCGGCCUGAGAGGGUGACCGGCGACAUUGGGGCUGAGAUACGGCCCAGUCUCCUACGGGGGACAGCAGUGGGGAAUAUUGCACAAUGGGCGGACGCCUGAUGCAGCAACGCCGCGUGCGGGAUGACGGCCUUCUGGUUGUAAACCGCUUUCGCCUGUGACGAAGCGUGAGUGACGGUAAUGGGUAAAGAAGCACCGGCUAACUACGUG
rnacentral:rRNA from 1 species